rnacentral:ribozyme from 14 species
AUAUUCACUUAAUAAAUGAAAGAGAAGGGUAUCACGCAAUACUUGCUUCGGAUGAAAGACACGAAACAACAGUCUCAUCUUCAAUCGUUUCUUUCUUUCUUCUUCUUUGUUAUUAUUAUUAUUAUCUCCUUCCUCUAUU